AAGGUGUCCUACACCACGGCCAUGGACUGGUUUAUUGCUGUGUGCUUUGCAUUC
rfam:Scleropages formosus scaffold1493, whole genome shotgun sequence.